AAUUUGUAUUACUGAACCCUUUGGGCUUCUUCUUCUUCAGCAGUCUCAAGAUCAGCACACAAGCAUCCGCCUCUUAAAUGGAUCACAUUCUCUUCAAAAUACAAAGUCUGAAGACAGGUGUUGCUUUUUUCAUUACUUGUUGAAAUUCUACCUGGUGAAUGUCUUCAAUCAAUGCACGGAAGGAAGCAACUUUCAUCAAAGGAGAGUCAGCAGGAUUGCCAACAACUUCCUCAGUAUUAAGAAGGAACUGACACUCUGUGAUACUGUCACAACAUGCUCCUGUGGGAAAGAAGCCAAUCAAAGAUAUGAACAAAUUCUGAAUCAGUUUCAGAGGGUAAAUGUGU